AGGAGGUAUGGCCUUAUUGGAGAAGGUGUGGUCUUAUUGGAGGAAGUGAGUCACUGUGGAUCCAGGCUUUAAGGUCUCUUUUGCUCAAGCAUCCCUCAGUGUGACUUUCAGCCAACAUCCUGUAGCACUCUCAGCUCCAGCAACACAUCUGCCUGAAUGCUGCAAUGCUCCAAUUAAUCAUAAAGGACUGAACUUUUGAAACUGUAAGCAAGCUACCCUCAAAUAAAUGUUUUCUUUAUAACAGUUGCUGUGGUCAUGGUGUCUCUCCACAGCAAUAGUAAGUCCUAACUAAUAUGCCAACUGUAUUCAUAACCUUCUUAUUUGUGAAUCUUUCACACAAACACUGGCAGAUACUGCCUUUUCUGUGUGUAGACAGAACAAUAUUUUUCCUUGCUCUUUCAUUUCUGGAGAAUAAUUUGCUGGGUACAUAUUUCUGGCUGUAAGUUUUAUUUUCUCUUCAAAACAAGAAAUGUAUAAUACCAUUCCUUCCUGGUUCUGCUGCUCAUUUUCCUUCCUGGUGCUGCUCUUCAUUUAAUGAAUGUUCCUUUGAAUAUAGUUGGUAGUUCUCUCUUGCAGCUUUUGGUAUUCCGUUUGCUCAGUGCUUAAUCUUAAAUAUGCCACCUCCAUUUUGCAAUAUGCCACCAUGAGGAAAUGUAAUGGUUGGGCUUUCUUAGGGUCUCAUAAGUAACUAAGUCCAGGUACUCAUUCAUUUCCCAACUCUAUCGGACUUUCAGAAAGUCUUUCCUUAUAUAUGGUUGCAUAUUUUCUCCCUCCUUUGGUGUUCCAGAACUCACAAAAUAUUUGUUUAUUUAAUGGAAAACAUGAAUCUCAAUGAGGAUUUUCCAAUUCAUUUUUAUUUUUUAUAAAGUUUUAUAAGGAUUUCUGGAAUACUUAAAAGAUUUGAUUUUCUGUGAUUAAUCUAGAACACACACACACACACACACACACACAACACACACACACACACACACACACACACACACACACACACACACGGUAGGAGAUUUUUAUUUGUUUAGGCAACAGGAUCUUCAGUGUAGCCUCAAAAUUCCCAAGUAACUUCCCCCCACAUACUGGGAUUACGAAUGUAUACCACCACACAUGGAUUUAAUCAAUAUUUUUUCUGCUUAACUUAAUUUCCUAGAUUUCUGUUUGGUUUAUUCCAGGAUCUCCCCACCCCCACCCCUGUCUCUCUGCUGAUGAGUUUCUUUUUUAUGUCAAUUGCAAUUGUAAUUGUACUCUCAGAAGGCUCACAUGUAUCCUAAUGCUUGUGAUUUUGUAUUAAUUACUUGACAUGUGUAUAUUUCUUUCACUGGAAUUCAUUGCUAUAGUUACUAUGUUCUGUUACAGACCAUAGGACCUCGUUUUUCACAUUUCUUGUAACCCUACAUCACAAUAUUGAUGUUUGUGUGUAUUUGGUAGACCCAGUGUCUCUAUUAGUUUUAUGAUGUGACUUUCCUCAUUAAUGACUUUGCCAUGUAUGUUUCUUAGGACGCCAACUUGUAAGUUAUGCUGGCUAUGUUCUGUUUGUGUUCCACAGUGUACUUACUGUUUCUCUAGCUUACUUGCACGUCAUCAAUUUAUCUGGAUACAGUGUAUGCAGCUGUGGCUGUGAGAGUCCUUUUUCUCUGAAAGACACUUUGUGAAAAGGAAAUGGGUUGCUCCAGUGACAGGAUACAAUGGAAGUUGUUUUUAAGGAUGGAAAUGAGGACAAGAGUCACCAUGUGUGUAGUUUGGCAUACUGGAUGCAUAGCAGCAGCAAUGAAAACAGUCAGGGACAAACAAGGCAUGGAGUACAUGUCCUUGCCUUUUUGCAGUUUUAUCUACCUAUAGCCCUUGAGUUUCAUAGCUCUGUCUACCAGACCCUAGCAUUAGAUAAGGGACAAGGCAAGUUCUUUCUCUGACUUCAAGUAGUCUCUAUAAUGUGUGUCCAAGCCUUCUGUUUUGUCUUACCUACCCCUUGGUUAAAACAGCUGACUUAAACAACUUAUUGGGAGGGGUUAUUUAUUUUAGGUGAUGAUUGCAGAGGACACACUUCAUAGUGACAGGGAAGGCAUGAGAGUACAGAUCAAUUCGCACGAGAAUGGGAGGGAAGGGGACAAAGUUAGUGGAGGCAGGCCGAGGACAAGUUAUAGUCCCCUAAAUCAUCUCCCUAGUUCCUGUAUUUUCAGCUAGGCCUCACCAAUGAAGUGCCCCAAAUCUCCAUAGUUUCACCAGCUGAGACUAACCCUGUCUUCUAUUCUUCCCCCAACUCAACCUUCCUGCUCCCUCAUGUCCUCCUCUCCCUUCCUCUUCUCCCCUUCUCAUUCUCCUAGCUUCCUCUUCCUCCCUCCAUGCUCCAAAUUUGCUCAAGAGAUCUUGUCCCUUUCCCCUUCUCUGGGGACAAGUUUUCCUUGUUUCCUAGCUUCUCUGACAGUGUGGAUUGUAGGCUGGUAAUUCUUUGCUCUAUUCUAAAAUCCAUAUAUGAGUGAGUACAUACCAUGUUUGUCUUUUGUUACUGGGUUACCUUGCUCAGAAUGGUUUCUUCUAGUUCCAUCCAUUUGAACUGAACUGGAAUCCAGUUGCAGAGAAGGAGGAGUGAUGAGCAAAGGGGUCAAGACCAGGCUGGUGAAACCACAGAAACAGCUGACCUGAACAAGGAGGAGCUCAUGGUCUCCAUACUGAUAGCUGGGAAACCAGCCUGGCACUGAUCCAGAACCCCUGAAUAUGGGUGUCAGUGAGGAGGCCUCGGAAAUCAAUGGGAGCCCAUCCCACAUGAAGGGAUACUCCCUCAGCCUAGACACACAGGGGAGGGCCUAGGCCCUAUCCCAAAGGAUAUGACAGACUCUGAAACCCCCCUCAUGGAAGGCAUCACCCUCCCUAAGGAGCAGAAAGGUGAGUCAGUUCAAAAGCAAAUUCAGGUAUCCUAGGGAGUUUUGUAUUUCGAGCACUCUUGGAAAGACUAGGACAAAAUAUAUUUUUAAGCUACGGACAUCCCAUGCUCAGGAGGAUUUUCCAGGUAAGUUUCCUUUCUGUUUUUUGUUUGUUUGUUUUCAUUUUCAAGGUGUGUGUGUGUGUGUGUGUGUGUGUGUGUGUGUGUGUGUGUGUGUGUGUGGUUUCUUUUCUACCUUGUUUUGAGACAAGGUUUCUUGGUAGUCAUCGUUGCAUAGGUUGUGAGCUUUUGGAGAUUCUUCUGUUUCCUCUUCCCAGCUUGGCACAAGAAUGCUGCGGUUAUUUAUGUGUGUUACCAAGUUCAGCUUUUCUUGGGUUCUAGGAGUAUGAACUUAGAUCUUCCAGCUUGCAAGGCGAGCAUUUUAUGCACUCAGCCUUCCUCAUCACCCUUGUGUUUUUUUAUGAUAUGACACAAUUAUGCCACUCUUUGGCAUGUGUCCAAAGGACUUAAGUUCCUAUUCCACAGAUAACUGCUCAGCUAUGUUCAUUGCUUUUUUAGUCACAAAACUAGGAAACAAAAGAAACCUAAAUGUUCUUGACCAGAUGAACAAACAGUGAAAAAUAUGAUUCAUGUACACAAUGUAAUACUAUUCCGUUGCAGAAAAAUGAAAUUUGUAGGCAAUGAAUAGAAAAUAUUAUGGAGUAAUGGAGCAAGAAGAUAAAACCACACGUUCUCUCUCAUCUCUGGGUGCUAUCUCUGGAUAAUCAAAUGUGGGUGUAUAAACAACUGGAGUAAAAAUAGAAACAAGAAAAAGUGAGACAGGACCAGGGUGUGGAGGAAUGAAAGAGACAGGCAUAGAAGGACACAGAAAUUGAUAAGGAUUAUUGCACCAUGUGCUGCACUGUGUAAAUUUUCUCCUUUAUUAAGUGUUGCCCAGAAUUCUGCCCUCUUCAUCUCAAAUACCAAGACACCCAUGAAUGAGAGUACCUAAAUUCACUCAGACUUCUAUGAAAAAUUACCACAACCAAGAGAUCUUGUAAAUGGAAAGAUGUAUUUCUCACAGUUCUGGAAGGUUGGAAUCACAAGGCUAGGCCCUAAUGCAUCUGCUGUGCCAAGUCCACCUGCCUAUUCUGUGGCCUUCUUGUGUUGUCCUCACAUUCUAGAAAGGGUAGGGUGUUUCUGUGGUUCCUUUAAUGAAAAAAAAAAAAAUUCCAUCCAGAGAGCUGUGUGCUAAUAACCUUAUCCCUUCUGGUUUCUCACUGCCCCCCCCCCAAUUGGGGAUUAGCUGUAACGAAAUCAGAAAGGAAGGCAACUGACUGAGCAAGAAAACCUGUUAUUUCAAAUAAAGUGAAAUUUUGGUACCUUAGUACAAUGUGACUUGUUCUGUUCAACUGAUAUAAAUUGCUACAAUUCUACUGCCACUAUUUUCAGGAGAAGAAUAUACACCCCUAAAUAAUGGCAGUAAGUCAGAAAUAUGUUGAGCAAUAAUGAAACAAUAAGUCCAUCAUUUAGCUGGAGGAAAAUGCCACACAAACUUUUUGUUGUUUUAUUCAUCAAAUUUAUUUUUUCACCAAAAAUGUUAAAUUGGAAAACUACAGUGGAAAACAGCUCUUCAUAAUGUCCCUUAGUCUUAUUCAUUUGAGCUUGGAUUUAAGGAUUUGAAAGAGAAAUAAUUCAGCAACAUACACUUGUCAGUCAAAGAAGCCACAAAGAGAAUAUAGAGAUCAUUUAGAGUGUCUAAGGAUUCAAAAGGGAGUUGUCCCUUUGAUCUUCCAUUAAUUUCAUUUUAGAGGACAAAAUGGGAGAAUUGACUGGUAAAAUGUUAGGAAGAGUUACCCAACUGGGAACACGUAAAGCAGUAAAAAUAAUUCCUGACAGAGGAAGCAGUUUACACAAAAUCAUGAAUUCCACACAUACAAAUGUCAUAACUGUGGGUCUAAGAGACUGAAGACUGGACUGGAGAUGAGGUACAAUGAAGAGAAAUGAAAGGAUAGGAAACACAAAGCCCUGUGUAUUUCAGAACCACACCAACCACUGUUUCUGCAUAGCAAGUCAACUGAACAUUUUGAUGUCCAACAGAUUAGCGACACUGAAUACAUGAGCUUAUCUAACCCAGAACUAACAUAUUCUGAGCUUGCAUGAUUUAUUUUCUGUUUAUUAAUAUGACUUAUUUGGGAUAACAAUUACCACAUGCAAAUUACUAGGUGAAUUAUUCUUAAACACUCAAAUGUUGCUAGAUGAAUGGGGACAAUUGGCAAGGCCACUUUGGAAAAAAUGGAAAUGUAUAGCAAUCAUUGUGAACUUUUUAAAAAAUUUGGCCCUGUGAUUCUUGUUCAUGGUUCCAAAUAAUCAUAAAUUUUGUUUUACUUUGUCACUCUGAAUAUUUUUGCAUAUAUGUGAG
rnacentral:lncRNA from 1 species